GUCCUUGUAGUGCAAUGGAUAGUUCGUUGAACUUCUAAUACAAAGGUCGUAGGUUCGAAUCCUAUCUGGGAGA